AUUGAACGCUGGCGGCAGGCCUAACACAUGCAAGUCGAACGAGUGGCGGACGGGUGAGUAAUGUCUGGGAAACUGCCUGAUGGAGGGGGAUAACUACUGGAAACGGUAGCUAAUACCGCAUACCAUCGGAUGUGCCCAGAUGGGAUUAGCUAGUAGGUGGGGUAACGGCUCACCUAGGCGACGAUCCCUAGCUGGUCGGAGAGGAUGACCAGCCACACUGGAACCGAGCAACGGUCCAGACUCUUACGGGGGGCAGCAUUGGGGAAUAUUGAAAAAGUGGGGCAAGCCGGAUGCAGCCAGGCCGGGUUUAUGAAGAAGGCCUGCGGGUUGUAAAGUAUUUUCAGCGGGGAGGCGUUACCCGCAGAAGAAGCACCGGCUAAUUCCGUGCCAGCAGCCGCGGUAAUU
rnacentral:rRNA from 1 species